CGGCGCUCGGGCCCGCUUGUGGUGGUUGUGCCCCUGUGGAGCCGGGCCUGUGGCGGCCCGGAAGCUGCCGGGGACGCCGGCAACGGAGGGGCCCGGCAGGCUCUACUUAGGCGGAAUCACUUAAUAAAAUGGAUGGCGCAACACAAGCAGUAUGGAAGAGAUCUCUUUAUAUCAGGAAUCUGCCUCUAAUGCUGUGAAGAGUUGGCUGCUGCUUUGAAGAGAUCACCUUCCUUCCUGCAUGUUGGAAGAGAUGCCACAGAGUGCUUAGUGAUAACAGUAACUUGCUAAUUAUGUGUUAACACAGAAGAGUUAGAGAUGAAGCAGCUUCAUAGAGAGAUGUAGUGCAAGUUGUCAUGAAGGGGAUUCCUGUUUGUGGGGGUGAUGUGCAGAGAAAGAGUAACUUUGAGUCGGCUGACUUUCUCUAAAGUAAGACUGUUAAAACACCUUAAAUAUCAAGACAGGGAAUCUGCUUCUUUUUUAGAAUCUCAAAGUAUUGCUGAGAGAUUAGAGGUCACUGAAUAAGCAGGAUUGGGAAUUUACUGUGGGACAUUAUAAAGUGUUAAGUCAGCAAGGCUGAUUGUGGCCAGGGUGAUCUGCAGGAAUCACCACUAUUUCAUUCUAUUUAAUGUAUAUAUCCACAAGUAACCUGAAAAGCCUUGCUUCAGAGCCUAUUAGAAAUGCUUUGAAUGUGGGACAGAUUCAUUUAAGUUGUCAUGAUCCAUCCUUACCCUGAAGAUGCAGAUAUUGCUUUUACAGUUGAUCAAAACAAAUCUAAGAUAACAGGUUUCAGUGAAUCUGUGAAUUACUUCCACGGGGUUCACAAAACGUAAGUAAAGGCAGACUUCAACUUGUAUAUGAUGUCCUAAAGCUCUAUUUAAAAAUUAUUCAGAAACCAUAAUUUUGAAAAUUAAAAACAAAAAAACCAAACCCAACCAACAAACCACCCCUUUGCCCCUAAUUUCUGGCUUUUAAUUAAGUGACAAAUGCAUAGUCCUCUCCCUAGCUUUUGCUUCCUAAUAUUUGUGAGAGAACAAGAAACAUUUUGAGAACAUGGUUAGAGUUUAUUAUACAAAGCCCACCUCAGAGCCUUUAGCUACAGCUUGUAGAUUUGAACAAGAAAAUACAAGGAGUCUCUUUUCUUUCUUUUUUUUUUUUUUUCUUUUUUUUUUCUUUUUUUUGUGCUUUUUAAUCAAUUCAAGUGGUUUUGCAAAGGAACCACAUGUCUCUCCCUCUCUGUAUGGAUGAAAGUGAAUCAGAAAGGGCUGAAAUGACUUGUCCAAGAGCAUUUCGAGGCUAUUAACAGGGCUAUGAACAGAACCCAGGGUAAAGGAGUCCUUAUCGAAGGCUUUCUCCAUGGUGUCAGGUUACUGCUUUCAGAAGUAUAAGAAUUUUGCCUAUUAUUUCUGACCGUCUCAUAUGCUGCUAAUAUGUCCCUGGACUAAAAAUACUGCAUUGAGGAUUUGGGACUGACCCAGUGAGAAUUUCUGACUUGUAGCUCUUUAAACUUAGAGGGUUGUUUCUCCUAAGAUUGAAAGUUGUGGGCCUUUCAUAAGUAGCUAUUGAUACCUAGGACUGGUUGAAUGUGCUUGCUGUGCAACUCAAAAAUUCCAAUGUCAUUUUGUUGCAAUGUCUCUGACCCUCAGUUCCUCUUAACUGUGUUUUACAACCCAUCUCAUGCAGCUAGAAUCUUCCCACUCCUGCAGAAAAAGACUCUUAAAUCUCUCCUCCUUUUACCAUUUUUUUUUUUACCAUUUUACCUUUUAGCCAUGUCUCCUGAAAUUCAGCUUGAUGUUAGCUGACCUUCCUGGGUUGCCUUCUGGGUGAAAGUCUGUGGCUGGGAUGUUUUCUGUUGCUAUACCAACCUGGUUUCUGCACUAAAAAUAAAGACCUCAGGGUGGGGAAUGUGUGUUGUUUCCUAUAAGCUCACAUGACUGUUGCAACAUGUUUAUCUAACGUGUUAAUUCUAAUUCUGCCCUAACAAAAGCUCUCUGGAAGCAUGAGUGGUACUUCAGU